rnacentral:tRNA from 1 species
CAUGAGAUGACUGAAAGCAAGUAAUGGUCUCUUAAACCAUCUGAUAGUAAAAUAGCGCCUACUUCUUAUGA